rnacentral:rRNA from 1 species
GGUAGUCCACCCCGUAAACGUUGGGAACUAGUUGUGGGGACCAUUCCACGGUUUCCGUGACGCAGCUAACGCAUUAAGUUCCCCGCCUGGGGAGUACGGCCGCAAGGCUAAAACUCAAAGGAAUCGACGGGGACCCGCACAAGCGGCGGAGCAUGCGGAUUAAUUCGAUGCAACGCGAAGAACCUUACCAAGGCUUGACAUACACCAGAACACCGUAGAAAUACGGGACUCUUUGGACACUGGUGAACAGGUGGUGCAUGGUUGUCGUCAGCUCGUGUCGUGAGAUGUUGGGUUAAGUCCCGCAACGAGCGCAACCCUCGUUCUAUGUUGCCAGCACGUAAUGGUGGGAACUCAUGGGAUACUGCCGGGGUCAACUCGGAGGAAGGUGGGGAUGACGUCAAAUCAUCAUGCCCCUUAUGUCUUGGGCUUCACGCAUGCUACAAUGGCCGGUACAAAGGGCUGCAAUACCGUGAGGUGGAGCGAAUCCCAAAAAGCCGGUCCCAGUUCGGAUUGAGGUCUGCAACUCGACCUCAUGAAGUCGGAGUCGCUAGUAAUCGCAGAUCAGCAACGCUGCGGUGAAUACGUUCCCGGGUCUUGUACACACCGCCCGUCAAGUCAUGAAAGUCGGUAACACCUGAAGCCGGUGGCCCAACCCUUGUGGAGGGAGCCGUCGAAGGUGGGAUCGGUAAUUAGGACUAAGUCGUAACAAGGUAGCCGUACCGGAAGGUGC